GGAGACGUACCCAAGCGGCUAUAAGGGGCUCCCCUGCUAAGGGAGUAGGCUGGGAAACCGGUGCGAGGGUUCGAAUCCCUCCGUCUCCGCCA
rnacentral:tRNA from 15 species